ACUCCUGCGGGAGGCAGCAGUGGGGAAUAUUGCACAAUGGGCGCAAGCCUGAUGCAGCGACGCCGCGUGGGGGAUGAAGGCCUUCGGGUUGUAAACUCCUUUCGCUAGGGACGAAGCUUUUUUGUGACGGUACCUAGAUAAGAAGCACCGGCUAACUACGUGCCAGCAGCCGCGGUAAUACGUAGGGUGCGAGCGUUGUCCGGAAUUACUGGGCGUAAAGGGCUCGUAGGUGGUUUGUCGCGUCGUCUGUGAAAUUCUGGGGCUUAACUCCGGGCGUGCAGGCGAUACGGGCAUAACUUGAGUGCUGUAGGGGUAACUGGAAUUCCUGGUGUAGCGGGGAAAUGCGCAGAUAUCAGGAGGAACACCGAUGGCGAAGGCAGGUUACUGGGCAGUUACUGACGCUGAGGAGCGAAAGCAUGGGUAGCGAACAGGAUUAAAAACCCUUGUAGUCCCAUGA
rnacentral:rRNA from 1 species